AACGAACGCUGGCGGCAUGCCUAACACAUGCAAGUCGAACGAGACCUUCGGGUCUAGUGGCGCACGGGUGCGUAACGCGUGGGAACCUGCCCUUAGGUUCGGAAUAACUCCCCGAAAGGGGUGCUAAUACCGGAUAAUGUCUUCGGACCAAAGAUUUAUCGCCUUUGGAUGGGCCCGCGUUGGAUUAGCUAGUUGGUAGGGUAAAAGCCUACCAAGGCGACGAUCCAUAGCUGGUCUGAGAGGAUGAUCAGCCACACUGGGACUGAGACACGGCCCAGACUCCUACGGGAGGCAGCAGUGGGGAAUAUUGGACAAUGGGCGAAAGCCUGAGCCAGCAAUGCCGCGUGAGUGAUGAAGGCCUUAGGGUUGUAAAGCUCUUUUACCCGGGAUGAUAAUGAGAGUACCGGGAGAAUAGGCUCCGGCUAACUCCGUG
rnacentral:rRNA from 1 species